CUACGGGGGGCAGCAGUGGGGAAUAUUGGACAAUGGGGGAGACCCUGAUCCAGCAAUGCCGCGUGAGUGAUGAAGGCCUUAGGGUUGUAAAGCUCUUUCGCUGGGGAAGAUAAUGACGGUACCCAGUAAAGAAACCCCGGCUAACUCCGUGCCAGCAGCCGCGGUAAUACGGAGGGGGUUAGCGUUGUUCGGAAUUACUGGGCGUAAAGCGCGCGUAGGCGGGCUAUUAAGUCAGGGGUGAAAUCCCGGGGCUCAACCCCGGAACUGCCUUUGAUACUGGUAGUCUUGAGUUCGAGAGAGGUGAGUGGAAUUCCGAGUGUAGAGGUGAAAUUCAUAGAUAUUCGGAGGAACAUCAGUGGCGAAGGCGACUCACUGGCUCGAUACUGACGCUGAGGUGCGAAAGUGUGGGGAGCAAGCAGGAUUAGAUACCCCGGUAGUC
rnacentral:rRNA from 1 species